AAAAGAAUGAAAUUGCUAAAAUGUGAUUUUAGAGGAAGCAUAUAAAGUUCUUUUAAAAGAAAAUUAAGCUCUCUAUAACUUUCAAUCAACAGAAUGUGGCCUAAUACGAGAGGAAAUUCCAACACAACUUGACAUGAGACCAGCAGUAAGUCUGGAGGAAGCCAGUAGUGACAGCUUAUGGAGAAGCACAUGUGGGGAGAAACGGAGGCCUUGGCUAACAGACAACAACCAUGUGAGUGAGCUUAGAAGAUUCUUUAAUACCAGUCAAGUCUUGAGAUGACAGCAGCAGCAGCUGACAGUUCGCCACUUUUUGAGUACCUGAACCAGAAAAAUUCAGGCCAAGAAUAGAAGACAAGCCAAUGGGAAGAACAUAAUGAGCAAAGAAAUGAAGUGAACUGAAGUGGUGUGCUGUGGUAUUCUGGCCAGAGACACAGCACAAAUAGAAAAAUGAAUGGUCAGCACUUCACUUGUUCUUCCAAGUCUACGGUGAGGGUACAAAUUGUAGUGAACUGAUCACCAUUUGAGUCAACUUGAGGACAGAAGAGAAACUAGUAAUAAAG